rnacentral:rRNA from 1 species
AACGAACGCUGGCGGCAUGCCUAACACAUGCAAGUCGAACGAAACCUUCGGGUCUAGUGGCGCACGGGUGCGUAACGCGUGGGAAUCUGCCCUUGGGUUCGGAAUAACAGUGAGAAAUUACUGCUAAUACCGGAUGAUGUCUUCGGACCAAAGAUUUAUCGCCCAGGGAUGAGCCCGCGUGGGAUUAGGUAGUUGGUGGGGUAAUGGCCUACCAAGCCGACGAUCCUUAGCUGGUCUGAGAGGAUGAUCAGCCACACUGGGACUGAGACACGGCCCAGACUCCUACGGGAGGCAGCAGUGGGGAAUAUUGGACAAUGGGCGAAAGCCUGAUCCAGCAAUGCCGCGUGAGUGAUGAAGGCCUUAGGGUUGUAAAGCUCUUUUACCAGGGAUGAUAAUGACAGUACCUGGAGAAUAAGCUCCGGCUAACUCCGUGCCAGCCGCCGCCGUAACAC